rnacentral:rRNA from 1 species
UACGGGGGGAGCAAGCGUUGUUCGGAUUUACUGGGCGUAAAGGGCGCGUAGGCGGCGCAACAAGUCACUUGUGAAAUCUCCGGGCUUAACUCGGAACGGUCAAGUGAUACUGUUGUGCUAGAGUGCGGAAGGGGCAACUGGAAUUCUCGGUGUAGCGGUGAAAUGCGUAGAUAUCUGGAGGAACACCGGUGGCGAAGGCGGCAUCCUGGACCAACACUGACGCUGAGGAGCGAAAGCCAGGGGAGCAAACGGG